rnacentral:rRNA from 1 species
CAGUCGCCGCGGUAAUACGGAGGGUGCAAGCGUUGUCCGGAUUUAUUGGGUUUAAAGGGUGCGUAGGCGGCUAUUUAAGUCAGCGGUGAAAGACUCCGGCUCAACCGGAGCAGUGCCAUUGAUACUGGAUAGCUUGAGUGUUGGAGGGGUACAUGGAAUUGAUGGUGUAGCGGUGAAAUGCAUAGAUACCAUCAGGAACACCGAUAGCGAAGGCAUUGUACUGGCCAACAACUGACGCUGAGGCACGAAAGCAUGGGGAGCGAACAGGAUUAGAUACCCCAGUAGUCCCUGUCUCUUAUAC